CUGAUUGUUUCUGAUGUACUUCCCUACUGCCUUCAUGCUAUGGACAUUGGUGAUGAGCUGUCGAAAACUGUAAGUAAUUUUAACAUCUAAAAGUGCUUAACUAUCUUGUAUCAAUUGUCUGUCAAGAUCAGACUGCUGGCAAACUGUUGAUGAGGAAAAAAAAAUGAAAAGCAUUGUUAGAAAUAGCAGAAAUGGUAGUAAGACACCUGUGUCUGUAUCAUUAUCAGCAUACAUUGAGGUCUUAAAAUAUUGAUCUAAAAAAUUCAAUAACCAAAAAUGGUUCCUAAUACCCAUAAUAAUGUUAAUUAAGAUUUACUAAAAUGGAAUAAGAAAUGGAAUGGAGAAACCAAAAAGUACCCGUAUAAAGUGGAUUCUGUUUAUAUGAAUCUGAAAAAUCUGCAUCCUUUUGAUCUACUUGAGCUCUCGUUGACACAGUCUGACUUGGCAGGUGGCUACAUUUGUGCUGCAAAAAAUCUUGUUGAGUAAUGAAGGCCUGAAAUAUUGC
rnacentral:lncRNA from 1 species